GUCUGACUGCGUGUUUUACGAAGUUAGUUUCAGUUUACAACGAGGAAAAGGAGGAGCUCAGCGGUCUUUCCUUCUGCUGGAGUCCAUGGAAAGGUAGUGCUAGCUAACGGCUAUACCGCCACCUAGCUAGCAUACUGCGGGUUGAUGGUUUGAUCCUCAGCUUCCUGUGUUUCAUAUGUUGAAGUGUCCUUGAGCAAGACGCUGAACACAAAAUUGGUGGUACCUUGAGAAAAACUGGAGCCCGGACCAGUGGUGACGCUGAAGCGGGUGGUGGCCACCCUGAGGGUGCUGACAUUCUUCUGAGGCUGGAACAGGAUGAUGUGGAUCUUCGGAGCGAAGAGGCAGCCCAGCACCACCGACCCACUGAGGCUGACAGAGAUGCACAUGGUGGUGGUCUGUACCUGGAGGAGUAGAAAGCCAUCUCCGUUUCCCUCCUCACCAGAUGGCCUUUUUAAUUCAAGAGCCUGCCAGCCUCUUACACACUUCAAACCAGACUGUGUGAAGGAAUGGGAGGAGUGGAUGGGGGCUGAAAAAAGUACAAGAAAAGAUAGCAGAUGUGAGAGGGCAGAGGUGGUUGCAAGCGUUGAGGAGUGGAGGUCAUCUACUGUAUAUGCAGCCCUGAGCCCCGAUGAGCAGGUUGGAGAUCCCCAGUGGAAUGACUUGGAGUCCUGCUAGGAGGAAGCAAAGGUAAUGGAAGUCAGCCUUCCCUAAAAUCACAUUUCCAGCUGACAAAGAGAAUGGCCCUGGGUGGGGGAAGACUGGAGAUGGUCUGCUAAUGGGAAAGAAGGCUCCAGAAUGAACACAUAUACACUGACAUAUUACCGUGCACAAACAAUGAAUGAGGCUCAAGCUGGAAGCACCUGUGACAAAUGCAAGUCUGCGAUAGUCUGAUGCUGAAUAUUUGAUUUAAUUUCUUGACGCAGUAUUUCCUCAGUUAUCUUUCUCAAAUCUGAAUUACUUGGUCGAAGACAAAUCCUGAUGUAGCCUAAAUUUCUGUGCCUCUGUGCCUUCUUUGUCAAACAAAAUCGCAUUAAUUAAACUUCAUUUUGAUGAAUGUAGAUAAUGUCACCUGCGUUGAGUCUAUCCCUCAUUAAGCAUUCUGCUGCCAGAAACAUUCACCAGUGCACUCAAAUGGAUGUAUAUUAAUCUGUAGCUUAAAAUACUCCCCACCAAAUGCAAUAUUUACUCUUAUUUGACCAGUGUUUGAUUAAAACAACAGAUUUUUAAAGAUUUAUUCAGGAAAGAAUGGGCAUGGAGCUGCAGGUCACAGAUCAAGGGUUGAGAUGUGGGUUUUUCGUCGGACUUGUUGACUGUAAGAAAAAAAAUAGCUCCAACUUUAUUUUUUAUUGUAAGUUAUUUUAGAGACUCCAUAACUUACAGCCAGACUAGAGCAUGCAAAAAUGUUUGUGCUGCGACUAGUGAUUAUGUUCAUUAAAUGAAGCAGCUAAGCAGAAAAGCUGUUUAAAGGCUAGAGGCAGAAUUUAUUUUAUUUAUUUUUUUGUAUUUAUGCCGGAUUUGUUUCUGAAAAUGAACAACAACAACAACAAAAAAAUCAUGAACAGGGGUCAGUUGUUGUUGUUUUUCAUUCGGAUGUUUCUCCUAUACUUGUUCUACAACUGGCUUAAGUUUUUCUUUGUUUUGUUUAGAAUCAGCCUCCCAACACGAGCUGCAUCAAUCCAUCAGGGUGCCUCGUGCAUCUGUGCAUGAUAUCUUAAGAUUUGAAAGGCGCAUGUGUAGUCUCUUCUGUGAACCUCUGCUACCUGUGGUUACCCAUAACACCUUUCUGUGCCUACAUUCACUAGAUGUCUUUGCAGAAGCAUAAUUGCAGCUUAAAACUUUGUAUUCAUCGUCCUUAAACCGAUAGAGCCGAAGAGUUACAUCUAAUACCCGGGAAUUCUUGGAUUUAUUAGGUUUUCCAUGUGUAUUUUUGUAGGGUAUUAACUUUAAUUUUAAAUUAGUCAUGUUAAACUUCAUAAUUAGUAAUACUGUAGGGUCUUAACCUUAACAUUUCAUCUUGUUAAGAUAAUUCAAAAUGGCAAUGUCUGAGCACUUAGACCCAACAGAUGUUGUUUUAAAUGUGUUACAUACACAACAGUGGCACACAUAUAACACAUACUGUGUUUUGGGACUUCGCGUUAGGUUUCUUUCCACUUAGAUUAGUAUAAACUCAACUACAAGAGAUACUAGCUUUAGUUUCUCUAAUCUGAUGUAUGCUGUGUAUUUUAGGCUGACAGAUUCGUCAUAUUUGUGAUCAAACAUUUACAUUGCAAUUACCUUCUGAGAGGUUUUCUAUUUAGA